rnacentral:rRNA from 1 species
UAGGCUAGGGAUUAGAUACCCUAUUAUUUAAGAAGUAAAUAUUUUUGACUUGAGUAGUAUUAGUUAUAUUUUUGAAACUCAAAGAAUUUGGCGGUAUUUUAGUCUUUUCAGAGGAAUCUGUCCCGUAAAUGAUAAUACACGAUUUACUUUACCAUAUUUUGUAAUCUCAGUAUGUAUACCGCCGUCAUCAGUUUAUCUUAUAAGAGUUAUAAUUUUCUUUAAUUUUUAUUAUAAUAUAUGUCAGGUCAAGGUGCAGCUUAUAUUAUGGUGGAGAUGGAUUACAAUAAAUUUAUUUAUAUGGAAUAUUAUAUGAAAAAUUGAUAUGAAGGUGGAUUUGUAAGUAAUUUUAUUAAUUUUAUUAAAUUGAUUUUAGCUCUAAAAUAUGUACACAUCGCCCGGCCACUCUCAA